rnacentral:SRP_RNA from 1 species
UGGGUCUUACGCGAUAAGAAUCUACGAACCGUGUCAGGUUGGGAACAAAGCAGCACUAAGUAGAACCUCUUAUGCGCCGUGAGGGUGCCUGG